GCGACUCUGCCUUACAGAGACGGAGCAGGCUCAACCAGCAUCUGUGCUCCUAGUGAGGAGCUAAGUGCCAGAAAGGGUCGUCUACAGAUAGGCUGUACUGCAGCCAGUGUGUCCCCUCGGGAAGGCUUUGAGAAAAUCCACUGAUCUCCAUUUUCAGAUGUAGACAUGUAUCCUUCCCUGAAUCCAGGCCCCGAAGGCACAGCUGCCAACAGCCCUUAAUCACAAGAAUCCUCACAGAUGUACCUUAGAGAACUGGAGCCAGUUCCAGAAGCCCUGGCUUUCUCAGCAUGCUGGAAGUACAAAUUUGAGCAAGACCCCUGCCCUCUGGUGUAG